UCUCAGUGCAAGCCGAAUUAAGGUGAAACCGCGAAAGGCUCAUUAAAUCAGCUAUAAUUUAAUUGAUGGUACAAUCACGGUUACUUGGAUAACUGUGGCAAUUCUAGAGCUAAUACAUGCAAAAUGAGUUCCGACCGCGCUUUCGCUUUCGUCGGAAGCGCGGAACGAAUGCUUUUAUUAGAACAAAACCAAUCGGAUCUUUCGCGCGCGAACGUUUCGGUGACCGUGUUUUUUAACACGCGCCGACGUUUUGCGGUUUGCGAAAGUCGUCCGCCAACUCCUGGUGAUUCUGAAUAACUUUUGGCUGAUCGCACGGUCACGCACCGGCGACGCAUCUUUCAAAUGUCUGACUUAUCAACUUUCGAUGGUAGGCUACACGCCUACCAUGGUGAUAACGGGUGACGGGGAAUCAGGGUUCGAUUCCGGAGAGGGAGCCUGAGAAACGGCUACCACAUCCAAGGAAGGCAGCAGGCGCGCAAAUUACCCACUCCCGGCACGGGGAGGUAGUGACGAAAAAUAACGAUGCAGGACUCUUUUCGAGGCUCUGCAAUCGGAAUGAGCACACUCUAAAUCAUUUAACGAGUAUCCAUUGGAGGGCAAGUCUGGUGCCAGCAGCCGCGGUAAUUCCAGCUCCAAUAGCGUAUAUUAAAGUUGCUGCGGAUAAAAAGCUCGUAGUUUGAUUUGUGUUCCGAGCAGUCGGUACGCCGUUCGUCGGCGCCUAACUGACUCGCGGCGGAACGUCCUGCCGGUUGACGGAGCGGGGGGCGAAACCGCGAACGCGGACGCCGGGCGACGGGACAGUAGAAAAGCGAAAAACGUGCGUGCGCGCGAAACGGAACUUUGUUUUCCGUCCUUCGCGCGCGUCAAAACACACGUUUUUUCGCGUUAAUUUUCGCUUCCCGUUUUUGACUCGCGUCGUUCUCGCACUCGCGUUCGCCUUAAAAACUCGAAUGGAAAAUGGUCGUUGCUUCGAACGCUCGCGUUUCGGGCGGACUUGACUCUGUUGUUCCGCGUCGUUUCGCUCGUGUUCCGCGAGUUUGGAAACCGUCGCGCAUUUGCGUUUAUCGUUCCUUCGCGCACGUCGACGAACCGUGCGGCGCUUCGAGUCUGACGCGUUCCGCAACCGUCGUUCGAGUCGCGCGACCGCAAAGGUUUUCCGUUCGCUUGGUAUUUCUGCGUCCGUCAGUCUUGGAAUCCCGUCGCGGUGCUCUUAACCGAGUGACGCGCCGGGCCGGCACGUUUACUUUGAACAAAACUGAGUGCUUAAAGCAGGCCAAACCCAGCCGCCGGAAAGUCCAAUGCAUGGAAUAAUGGAAUAGGGCCACGGUUCUAUUUUGUUGGUUUUCGGAAUUUCCGAGGCAAUGAUUAAUGGGGACAGGCGGGGGCAUUAGUAUUGCGGCGUUAGAGGUGAAAUUCUUGGAUCGUCGCAAGACUAACCUAAGCGAAAGCAUUUGCCAAGGAUGUUUUCUUUAAUCAAGAACGAAAGUUGGAGGUUCGAAGGCGAUCAGAUACCGCCCUAGUUCUUACCGUAAACUAUGCCGGCUAGCGAUCCGUCGAUGUUCGUUUAGAUGAUUCAGCGGGCAGCUUGAGGGAAACCAAAGCCUUCGGGUUCCGGGGGAAGUAUGGUUGCAAAGCUGAAACUUAAAGGAAUUGACGGAAGGGCACCACCAGGAGUGGAGCUUGCGGCUUAAUUUGACUCAACACGGGAAACCUCACCAGGCCCGGACACCGGAAGGAUUGACAGAUCAAGAGCUCUUUCUUGAUUCGGUGGGUGGUGGUGCAUGGCCGUUCUUAGUUGGUGGAGCGAUUUGUCUGGUUAAUUCCGAUAACGAACGAGACUCUAGCCUGUUUACUAGGCGACGAUUCACCGCGUGUGAAUUUUCCGGCAUGGAAUGAUUUUUUUCAAACACUGCCGGCGGACGUGAUUUCUUCUUAGAGGGACAAGCGGCUUCUAGCCGCACGAGAUUGAGCAAUAACAGGUCUGUGAUGCCCUUAGAUGUUCUGGGCCGCACGCGUGCUACACUGAAGGAAUCAACGUGUUCACGAGUCCUAGGCCGAGAGGUCCGGGCAACCCGUUGAAUUUCCUUCGUGAUAGGGAUCGGGGCUUGCAAUUGUUUCCCGUGAACUAGGAAUUCCCAGUAAGCGCGAGUCAUAAGCUCGCGUUGAUUACGUCCCUGCCCUUUGUACACACCGCCCGUCGCUACUACCGAUCGAACGAUUUAGUGAGGUCUUUGGACUCGUACGCGGGAAACGUCCUUUGCGGCGAUUGCUCGCAGCUGCGAGGAAGACGACCAAACUUAAUCGUUUAGAGGAAGUAAAAGUCGAAACA
rnacentral:rRNA from 1 species